rnacentral:rRNA from 1 species
UACGUAGGGGGCAAGCGUUGUCCGGAAUCAUUGGGCGUAAAGCGCGUGUAGGCGGCUCGGUAAGUCCGCUCUGAAAGUCCAGGGCUCAACCCUGGGAUGCGGGUGGAUACUGCCGGGCUCGAGUCCGGAAGAGGCGAGUGGAAUUCCUGGUGUAGCGGUGAAAUGCAUUGAGAUCGGAAAGAACACCAACGGCGAAAGCACUCUGCUGGGCCGACACUGACACUGAGAGACGAAAGCUAGGGGAGCAAAUGGG